AAGACUAUAGACCUGCGGAGUACCUGCGGAAGGAUCAUUAUUGAAUUAUGUUUCUAAAUGGGUUGUAGCUGGCUCGUCAGAGCAUGUGCACGCCUGUUUGGACUUCAUUUUCAUCCACCUGUGCACCUAUUGUAGUCUUUGGUUGGGUAUCAAGGAAGUGGUCAGCCUAUCAGCACUUGCUGGAUGUAAGGACUUGCAGUGUGAAAGCUUUGCUGUCCUUUACUUGAUCAUGGAGUUGUU
rnacentral:misc_RNA from 1 species